rnacentral:rRNA from 1 species
CAGUGACCGAUAGCGGAUUAGUACCGUGAGGGAAUGGUGAAAAGUACCCCGGGAGGGGAGUGAAAUAGUACCUGAAACCGUGUGCCUACAAUCCGUCAGAGCCCUCGACUUUGUUGUGGGGUGAUGGCGUGCCUUUUGAAGAAUGAGCCUGCGAGUCAGGGACAUGUCGCGAGGUUAACCCGGGUGGGGUAGCCGCAGCGAAAGCGAGUCUGAAUAGGGCGUAUCCAAUUCAUAGGGAUUGGUGUAGUGGUGUGUUCUGGACCCGAAGCGGAGUGAUCUACCCAUGGCCAGGGUGAAGCAGCAGUAAGAUGUUGUGGAGGCCCGAACCCACUUAGGUUGAAGACUGAGGGGAUGAGUUGUGGGUAGGGGUGAAAGGCCAAUCAAACUCCGUGAUAGCUGGUUCUCCCCGAAAUGCAUUUAGGUGCAGCGUUACACGUUUCUUGUUGGAGGUAGAGCUACUGGAUGGCCGAUGGGCCCUACUAGGUUACUGACGUCAGCCAAACUCCGAAUGCCGACAAGUCAAAGAGUGUGGCAGUGAGACGGCGGGGGAUAAGUUCCGUGCGUCGAGAGGGAAACAGCCCAGAUCGCCGGCUAAGGCCCCUAAGCGUGUGCUAAGUGGAAAAGGAUGUGCAGUCGCGAAGACAACCAGGAGGUUGGCUUAGAAGCAGCCACCCUUGAAAGAGUGCGUAAUAGCUCACUGGUCAAGUGAUUGUGCGCCGAUAAUGUAGCGGGACUCAAGCACACCGCCGAAGCCGCGGCAACAGACC